UAGCUUUUUUUAAAUUGUUUUUCAUGUCUAGUUGACGAGCCAGGAUAAAACAGCUCACGUGAUCCAGAGAGCGCUGGAGAAACAUCACCUGGAGCUCAUGGACUGGCAGGACUUCUCGCUGACGCAGCUCAUCUCCUCGGAGAGAGAGUUGCUCAUACCGGACAAAGCCAACGUCUUCUACGCCAUGUCCACAACGGCAAACUUUGACUUUGUUUUACGCCAAUACCAAAAAGGCCAGAAGAAACCUCUGAGGGCCACGUGUAGUCUCGGACGAAACACAAAGUGAAACACUAACCCUGCACCUGGAUGAUGGGACUCAAGUUGAAAAUUAUAUUAAUUUUUUAACAAUUAUUUUAUAAGAAAAGUAGGCUCUCUAAGAUGGUCUGUCCUUUUUAUUUUUUCUUGGAUACCAAAGAGGUUUUUAUGUGGAAUGAAUUUAAUGCAGAAGCACUUUAUGAAGGAGAACAGAGACAAAAAUGAUCUGGAUCGGACAUCUUUUAUUUCCUUGUGGAAUAAACUUGGAUCCUUAAAAAAAACAUUCCUUGACUCUUCCUGAGAUAUUUGGAUCACAUGUUCAAACACUGAUUGAUUUUAAAGGGGAUGUCUGAAACCAGAGCCCAUUCUGCUCUGAUUGGUUAGCUGGCCGGCUCUGUUCUGAUUGGUCAACCGCUUUCAGAUGUCCCGCCCCUUAGCCUAUCACGUACAAUGUGUUGGAGCGCAAGCCAAUAGAAGCGUGUUACUUAGUGAUAUCACUGUGUUCAGGAAG